rnacentral:lncRNA from 1 species
GAAAAUAUAUUGGUUAAAAUAUUGCACUAAUAGGUGAUAACGUCUUUAUGCAGGCGUAAAUUGAAUGAAUUGUAAGAUUAAAGUUAACUACACGCCAUGGUGCAAUAAUUGUGAUUGUGUCAUCUGAGCCCUAUACUAUACUGUACUACCAAGCAUGAAUUCUAGAGAUUGACCGACGAAUGCAAGAUAUGCAAAGUGCAGAGAUUGUAAAUUGCAGUAAAGUAAAUUGAAUGAAUGUUAAGUGUUGUAAAUAUCAUCAAACUAAUGAAAUUUGCUACUCAACACAACUUAAGGUUGUGUGGAGCCCUUGCCUUCAACACGUGAUUUGGAUUAUGCCUCAUCCGCUGUCGAUUUGAGUUUCUUCUUCAGAUUAUGAUAUUUCUUAAGUCCACA